rnacentral:rRNA from 1 species
AGAGUUUGAUCAUGGCUCAGGAUGAACGCUAGCGGCAGGCCUAAUACAUGCAAGUCGAACGGUCUCUAGCAAUAGAGAUAGUGGCGCACGGGUGCGUAACGCGUAACCAACCUACCCUGGACUGGGGGAUAGCCCGCCGAAAGGCGGAUUAAUACCGCAUAAUACUUGUAACCGGCAUCGGUUGUUAGUUAAAGAUUUAUUGGUCCAGGAUGGGGUUGCGUGCCAUUAGCUAGUUGGGGGGGUAACGGCCCACCAAGGCGACGAUGGCUAGGGGAGCUGAGAGGCUGGUCCCCCACACGGGCACUGAGAUACGGGCCCGACUCCUACGGGAGGCAGCAGUAGGGAAUAUUGGGCAAUGGGCGAGAGCCUGACCCAGCCAUGCCGCGUGCAGGAUGAAGGCUUUCUGAGUCGUAAACUGCUUUUGCCAGGGAAGAAUAAGGGGGAUGCGUCCUCCGACGACGGUACCUGGUGAAUAAGCACCGGCUAACUCCGUGCCAGCAGCCGCGGUAAUACGGAGGGUGCAAGCGUUGUCCGGAUUUAUUGGGUUUAAAGGGUGCGUAGGCGGUUCGUUAAGUCCGGGGUGAAAGCCCACUGCUCAACAGUGGAACUGCCCUGGAAACUGGCGGACUUGAGUACAGACGAGGGCGGCGGAAUGGAGGGUGUAGCGGUGAAAUGCAUAGAUACCCUCCAGAACCCCGAUUGCGAAGGCAGCUGCCUAGACUGUAACUGACGCUGAGGCACGAAAGCGUGGGGAGCGAACAGGAUUAGAUACCCCGGUAGUCC